GGCACUGUGAACCUUCCCUGCUGUUCAAUAUGAUCACAGUUAAUCUCUGCUGUCCUCUCCUGUACCAAUUCCCUAUGUCCUCCUAUUCAAUCAAAUGUUUAGUUUAGUUU